GAAAUGUUGAUCUAGGAGCUGCAUAGCAUAACAAAAUGGAUGGAAGUUUGAACACAACUGGCUGGAGUUGGAGUGGGAAAGUACUUCGACGAAAAUGCUGGCAUAUUACGUAAGGUUGAGUUGAUGUCUUGUGAUAAUUAACUAAGACAACAACCAGCUAAAUGUGCUGUCGCCAGUAAUAUCUACCACACGAUAGUGAACCAAUGGAAAAAAGUAGAGGAAACACACAUAUAUCUGUAGCUACAUGAAUGGCAAGGCCUAGCAACCAAGCUGACAAAGAUACCAGCUGAAAUGACAAUCUCUUAUGGUAAGAACUCCUUCAAGUAUGCUGCGCCAGUGCUGUGGAACUCCCUACCAGAACACUUCAGGACCUGUUCCAGCUUCAACCAGUUCAGAAGCCUAAUAUCUACACGGAGUGGCAGGGACUGUAAGUCUAUCGCUUGCAAACCAGCCGAGUAUUUUUGUGUUCAACAUAUUGCCAUAUCUAAGGGACUCCACCCUGCAGGAUAACUUACAGCAACUCCCAAACAUGGUGAGGAUAGAAAUGGGGGUGUGACAGUGUUUGCAUAUGUGCUACAAAU